rnacentral:lncRNA from 1 species
AAGUUAAAACGGACAUUUCCUGACUGGCCAGACACUUGGAGUUCUGAUUUCAUCUCCCUUUAGCAUCUGCCAGGAAAAGAGACAAAAUGCAGAGGUCCAAGAAAGUUCUCUCACAAGAGGACAGCAUCUUGACAGAGAUUCAAUGCUUAGAAGAACUGUACAGAAGAUACAGUAAGUGUGGAGGCUGCUAGAGUCCAAGAGACCAGAGGAAGACCAUGAUAACAAGGUGAUACCAUGACAUGCAUGAAUUGGAUUUCAAUGAGAGAGACCUGUGCAGUCACCAGCCUCACUUUCUCCUUCAGAGCCAUCUGGGUCCAUUGACAAAAUAUAUAG